rnacentral:lncRNA from 1 species
UACAGAGAUGCUGUGAAUAUAAAUUUAUAUAAUGCAAAAGUAAGUUUAUUUCAUAUGCUAAUUUAGAGGCUUUCUUAAUAUGUUUAAUUAUAAAGAAAAAAAAAAAAGCGUUGCAAUUCUUGUUCACUGACCAAUGGCAAAGCAGACACUUUCUACUUCCGGUUGUGGCGGGAUAUUUGUGAAGUCAGCAAUGGCGGUCGAAAAGAAUGGUAAAGUCGCAAAGAAUACUGUUUGUUCGUGGAUUGGCGUUUGUGACUGAAUCCAUCGAUGUUACUAAUUAUUUGAAGAAAUCUGGGGAGUCAGCACCCUGCUGAAUUGUAGUAAACGAGACGUUCCAAUCUACUAGACCAUCAAAGAUGCAGAUUUGGAUUUUCUAUUUCAUAGUUAUUGAAAUCAUAAUGAGAAUGAAGUACUGCCACUAAGUCGUAUUGGAUAUGUUGCAAGGAGCUGUUUUCAAAACAUUGGGUGACAAAGAAUUCACUUUUACAAAAAUCGAGCA